GACCUCGGAUCAGGUAGGGAUACCCGCUGAACUUAAGCAUAUCAAUAAGCGGAGGAAAAGAAACCAACAGGGAUUGCCUCAGUAACGGCGAGUGAAGCGGCAACAGCUCAAAUUUGAAAUCUGGCCUUCGGGUCCGAGUUGUAAUUUGCAGAGGAUGCCUCGAGCAUGGUCUAGUCUAAGUUCCUUGGAAUAGGACGUCAUAGAGGGUGAGAAUCCCGUAUGCGACUGGGUGCCUAAGCUCAUGUGAAGCUCCUUCGACGAGUCGAGUUGUUUGGGAAUGCAGCUCAAAAUGGGUGGUAAAUUUCAUCUAAAGCUAAAUAUUGGCCAGAGACCGAUAGCGCACAAGUAGAGUGAUCGAAAGAUGAAAAGCACUUUGGAAAGAGAGUUAAAUAGCACGUGAAAUUGUUGAAAGGGAAGCGC
rnacentral:rRNA from 1 species